rnacentral:rRNA from 1 species
GACGAACGCUGGCGGCGUGCUUAACACAUGCAAGUCGAACGGACAGACAGAGAGCUUGCUCUCUUGAAGUUAGUGGCGAACGGGUGAGUAACGCGUAAUCAACCUGCCCUUCAGAGGAGGAUAACAACGGGAAACCGUUGCUAAUACCGCGUACGAUUCAUGAACGGCAUCGUUUAUGAAUGAAAGGUGGCCUCUAUGUAUAAGCUAUCGCUGAAGGAGGGGAUUGCGUCUGAUUAGCUAGUUGGAGGGGUAACGGCCCACCAAGGCAAUGAUCAGUAGCCGGUCUGAGAGGAUGAACGGCCACAUUGGGACUGAGACACGGCCCAAACUCCUACGGGAGGCAGCAGUGGGGAAUCUUCCGCAAUGGACGAAAGUCUGACGGAGCAACGCCGCGCGAGUGAUGAAGGUCUUCGGAUUGUAAAGCUCUGUUAAUCGGGACGAAAGAGUUCUGCGUGAAUAAUGCAGAAAAGUGACGAUACCGGAAUAGAAAGCCACGGCUAACUACGUGCCAGCCGCCGCCGUAA